GCACCAUCGACUACAGCUUGCAUCGAUUAGUUUGUGGCAUUGUGGCUCAUUGAAGUUUGCUGUGCCAUUGUGUUUCCUACUUUAUGGCGAAAUACUAGAAAUAUGACAUUUUCUAGCGAACACUUCAAAAUACAAUGUCUGCUUCCAAGUGACUUCAUUUGGGGCUGAAAUUAUCGAAGAACAUGUUAUAAUCCAACAUUUAAGGUAAUUUACGUUAAAAAAAAAUUGUUUGUAAGAUACAAGAUCUGCAGUUGUGAUCAGAGCAGAUAAAAGACCUGCUAGAACACAUGAACGCACAUUUAAUGAUCCAACAAUGGAUGAAGUGGAAAUGUUUAUUGUUGGUGACGUUCAUAUGACGCGUUUCAAUACCCGCUGAUGUUCUGGCAAGGUGACGAUGAAUAUAACUUUAAUAUCAAAAUGAAAAAUUUAUUGAAUGGUAAGAUCAAUGCCGUUAACGUAUUAGGUGUUCUAAAAUACAAUUUUUAUCAAAUUUGUAAGGGUAACAAAGGGUUAGGAAACUACCAAGAAGGUUAGGUCGAUGAAAUACUACGCAUACCGUUUGCUGAUUCG